rnacentral:rRNA from 1 species
UACGAAGGGGGCUAGCGUUGCUCGGAUUCACUGGGCGUAAAGGGUGCGUAGGCGGUCGGGUAAGUCUGAUGUGAAAUCUCACAGCUUAACUGUGAAACUGCAUUGGAUACUAUUCGGCUUGAGAGUUGGAGGGGGGGACUGGAAUUCUUGGUGUAGCAGUGAAAUGCGUAGAUAUCAAGAGGAACACCAGUGGCGAAGGCGAGUCCCUGGACAACUUCUGACGCUGAGGCACGAAAGCUAGGGGAGCAAACAGG